rnacentral:sRNA from 1 species
AAGUAAACCUGAUGGUAGCGGACACGGAGUGCAACGAAGUAAAGCGAACAGCAGGACUACAC